rnacentral:rRNA from 1 species
AGGGAAACCGAGUCUUAAUUGGGCGUUAAGUUGCAGGGUAUAGACCCGAAACCCGGUGAUCUAGCCAUGGGCAGGUUGAAGGUUGGGUAACACUAACUGGAGGACCGAACCGACUAAUGUUGAAAAAUUAGCGGAUGACCUGUGGCUGGGGGUGAAAGGCCAAUCAAACCGGGAGAUAGCUGGUUCUCCCCGAAAGCUAUUUAGGUAGCGCCUCGUGAAUUCAUCUCCGGGGGUAGAGCACUGUUUCGGCUAGGGGGCCAUCCCGGCUUACCAACCCGAUGCAAACUGCGAAUACCGGAGAAUGUUAUCACGGGAGACACACGGCGGGUGCUAACGUCCGUCGUGAAGAGGGAAACAACCCAGACCGCCAGCUAAGGUCCCAAAGUCAUGGUUAAGUGGGAAACGAUGUGGGAAGGCCCAGACAGCCAGGAUGUUGGCUUAGAAGCAGCCAUCAUUUAAAGAAAGCGUAAUAGCUCACUGGUCGAGUCGGCCUGCGCGGAAGAUGUAACGGGGCUAAACCAUGCACCGAAGCUGCGGCAGCGACACUCAGGUGUUGUUGGGUAGGGGAGCGUUCUGUAAGCCUGCGAAGGUGGCCUGUGAGGGUUGCUGGAGGUAUCAGAAGUGCGAAUGCUGACAUAAGUAACGAUAAAGCGGGUGAAAAGCCCGCUCGCCGGAAGACCAAGGGUUCCUGUCCAACGUUAAUCGGGGCAGGGUGAGUCGACCCCUAAGGCGAGGCCGAAAGGCGUAGUCGAUGGGAAACGGGUUAAUAUUCCCGUACUUGGUGUUACUGCGAAGGGGGGACGGAGAAGGCUAUGUUGGCCGGGCGACGGUUGUCCCGGUUUAAGCGUGUAGGUGUGUGUUCCAGGUAAAUCCGGUUCACUUUAACACUGAGGCGUGAUGACGAGGCACUACGGUGCUGAAGCAACAAAUGCCCUGCUUCCAGGAAAAGCCUCUAAGCAUCAGGUAACAUCAAAUCGUACCCCAAACCGACACAGGUGGUCAGGUAGAGAAUACCAAGGCGCUUGAGAGAACUCGGGUGAAGGAACUAGGCAAAAUGGUGCCGUAACUUCGGGAGAAGGCACGCUGACACGUAGGUGAAGUGAUUUACUCAUGGAGCUGAAGUCAGUCGAAGAUACCAGCUGGCUGCAACUGUUUAUUAAAAACACAGCACUGUGCAAACACGAAAGUGGACGUAUACGGUGUGACGCCUGCCCGGUGCCGGAAGGUUAAUUGAUGGGGUCAGCGCAAGCGAAGCUCCUGAUCGAAGCCCCGGUAAACGGCGGCCGUAACUAUAACGGUCCUAAGGUAGCGAAAUUCCUUGUCGGGUAAGUUCCGACCUGCACGAAUGGCGUAAUGAUGGCCAGGCUGUCUCCACCCGAGACUCAGUGAAAUUGAACUCGCUGUGAAGAUGCAGUGUACCCGCGGCAAGACGGAAAGACCCCGUGAACCUUUACUAUAGCUUGACACUGAACAUUGAGCCUUGAUGUGUAGGAUAGGUGGGAGGCUUUGAAGUGUGGACGCCAGUCUGCAUGGAGCCGACCUUGAAAUACCACCCUUUAAUGUUUGAUGUUCUAACGUGGACCCGUAAUCCGGGUUGCGGACAGUGUCUGGUGGGUAGUUUGACUGGGGCGGUCUCCUCCUAAAGAGUAACGGAGGAGCACGAAGGUUGGCUAAUCCUGGUCGGACAUCAGGAGGUUAGUGCAAUGGCAUAAGCCAGCUUGACUGCGAGCGUGACGGCGCGAGCAGGUGCGAAAGCAGGUCAUAGUGAUCCGGUGGUUCUGAAUGGAAGGGCCAUCGCUCAACGGAUAAAAGGUACUCCGGGGAUAACAGGCUGAUACCGCCCAAGAGUUCAUAUCGACGGCGGUGUUUGGCACCUCGAUGUCGGCUCAUCACAUCCUGGGGCUGAAGUAGGUCCCAAGGGUAUGGCUGUUCGCCAUUUAAAGUGGUACGCGAGCUGGGUUUAGAACGUCGUGAGACAGUUCGGUCCCUAUCUGCCGUGGGCGCUGGAGAACUGAGGGGGGCUGCUCCUAGUACGAGAGGACCGGAGUGGACGCAUCACUGGUGUUCGGGUUGUCAUGCCAAUGGCACUGCCCGGUAGCUAAAUGCGGAAGAGAUAAGUGCUGAAAGCAUCUAAGCACGAAACUUGCCCCGAGAUGAGUUCU